AACCGGUCUGGCACGCGGAUACCUCGGCAACCCGGGCUUGACGGCGGAGCGGUUCGUCGCGUGCCCGUUCCUGGCGGGCGACCGGAUG
rnacentral:tRNA from 1 species